AUAGAUGAUAAUAAAAAAAUUUAUUGAGAUACGAUAAAAUUUUUUAUUUCUUAAAAAUUUAUAUUUUAUUUUUUUAAUUAAUAUAAAUAGAUACUCGAAGACAACCAAACUGGUAGUUACUUUGAAAGAAAAAAAACAAAAAACAAAAACAAAAAAAAGGUUAGUUAUCAGAGCCAACAUCCAUCCCGAUCCGCGACGGCUCCAUCUCCGUCGCCCUCUGCACCCUCGUCGUCCUCCUUGGCUCAUCCAGUUGGGCUUCACCGCCCGCUACACUUUCCCUCACCCUGGACGAGAUCAUUGCCAACCUCGGCCUCUCCCUUCCGGUUCUCUUUGGUGUGACGGUUUCUUUACUGCUUGGCGUGACGGCGAUGUGUGUUGGUGGUGCCAGUUCUCGACUCUUGGUUCUCUGUCCAACAUCGGAGCCAUGGUGGGGAAUAUUUCCAGCGGACAGAUUGCGGAGGACAUCGGGCGCAAAGGAGCGAAGCAGAUCUGACCUUUUUUCUGGUUCCCGCCAGGAUCUGAUCAUGAUGAGUCUUUGACGUGAUUGUUGUUGGAAGGGUUCAGUGUCAGUGUGAGCUCCUAGAAAGUAUGUUACCAUCCUUCUGCAAGCGUUUGAUCCAUUUUGGUGGAGUUUUAUGCGGUCCGACUCUUGAUCUAUAGACGUCUUAUCACUUGCCUGAUAGUUCCCAAGAACUAUCAGAGAUUGUUCCUAAGAACUUGAGAGGGGCACUCGGCUCUGUGGAUCAGGUCAUUCCAUGCUUCCGAAACUUAUGAUUGUUCUGCAUCUUAUUCAUUCUAGCUUUCUUAUUUCGUAGCUUUCUGUGACCAUUGACCUUUUUUUGGCUUAUCUGAUGGGUAUGCUUGUUCGGUGGAGGCUCCUCAAAGUAAAAGAAUUCAGUGGCCUGAUCAACCAGGACACCAAUCCCAAUAGGCAUUGAUCUACAUGCACUGCAGCAGCAAAGUGGAAUCAAGUCAAUCAACAGAUACUUCCUGUUAAUAUCAAGAGCCCUGCUAAUAGUUCCACAAUACUUGCCAACCGGUUGACAUCAUUUGUGAUAACAAUGAUUGCAAAGUUACUUCUGGGCUGGAGCACCGGAGUUUGAAAUGUGUGCUCUCAAGAUACCGAUACCACUCCAUUGAUAAUAUGGGUGCCUGAGAUCAAGGGAGGAACUCUCGAGGAAUCACAGUAGUCUAUCAGAGAAAAAGAUGGAAGUAGAAUGAUGAUGGAUUCAAAACUUACUCUUUCAUGUCCUUGGCAAGCUCUAGGUUGAAUAUGUUGUCAUUCUCUCCCCACAACAAGAGUAUCCUCUGCAUCAUGUGAAAAUGAAAACACCAAGAAUAAUCAUGCUCUUCAAUUCCACAUUUUGGCAGCAUACAAGAGGUUGGCUUCGCAAAGGAUUGUAAUGGAAGAAAUCGGAUACCUGCACACAUACCUGAUCCAAAGAGGGAACCUUCGCAUCUUUGUUGCUGAUCACCAAACCCUCGAGCAGUUCUGCCCUCUCCUUCCGAUUGCUAAACAUCACCUGUUCAUAUCCACAC